CGCAUCUGUGCAUGCAGCAUAUCAAUAAGCGGAGGAAAAGAAACUAACAAGGAUUCCCUCAGUAACGGCGAGUGAAGCGGGAAGAGCUCAAAUUUGAAAUUUUGAAAGGUCACCUUUCACGAAUUGUAGUUUAAAGAAGUGUUUUCUGUUACGAUCGUAAUAUAAGUUCUUUGGAAUAGGACAUCACAGAGGGUGAGAAUCCCGUCUAUGAUUGCGAUUUGUAGCUUUGUGAUACACUUUCAAAGAGUCGGGUUGUUUGGGAAUGCAGCCCAAAACGGGAGGUAAAUUUCUUCUAAGGCUAAAUAUUGGCGAGAGACCGAUAGCGAACAAGUACCGUGAGGGAAAGAUGAAAAGAACUUUGAAAAGAGAGUUAAAUAGUACGUGAAAUUGUCAAAAGGGAAGCGUUUAACACCAGUGUUGUUUUCUGAAAAUCAACCUCUGUUAGCUUUAUGCAUGUUUGUUUAGACCUAAUCAGCUAUCUUGCAUGUUCUAUUGUUUGCAGUGGUGCACUUUUCAGUUUACAGGUCAACAUCAGUUUUUUUUACCGUAAAAAAGUUAAAGAAAGGUAGCUCAUGGCUCCGGUCGUGAGUGUUAUAGUCUUUUUCCUAUGCGGUAGGAGAGACUGAGGUCUGCAGUGUAGGCUAUUUGGCUAGAUACUCAGGUGCUAUGUGAUACCAUUUCAUAAACAACUUGUUGAUUAUGUUUUGUCUAUUGCAUACUCGCUUGUACUAUCAUACCUACGCUUAGGAUGUUGACGAUCAGCUGAGCGCG
rnacentral:rRNA from 1 species